UACGGGGGGGGCAAGCGUUGUUCGGAAUUACUGGGCGUAAAGGGCUCGUAGGCGGCCAACUAAGUCGGACGUGAAAUCCCCAGGCUCAACCUGGGAACUGCGUCUGAUACUGGAUGGCUUGAAUCCGGGAGAGGGAUGCAGAAUUCCAGGUGUAGCGGUGAAAUGCGUAGAUAUCUGGAGGAAUACCGGUGGCGAAGGCGGCAUCCUGGACCGGCAUUGACGCUGAGGAGCGGAAGCCAGGGGAGCAAACGGG
rnacentral:rRNA from 1 species